UACGUAGGGGGCAAGCGUUGUCCGGAAUUAUUGGGCGUAAAGAGCUCGUAGGCGGCUCGGUAAGUGAGGUGUGAAGACUCCAGGCUCAACCUGGAGACGCCACCUCAUACUGCCGUGGCUAGAGUCCGGUAGGGGAGCAUGGAAUUCCUGGUGUAGCGGUGAAAUGCGCAGAUAUCAGGAGGAACACCAGUGGCGAAGGCGGUGCUCUGGGCCGGAACUGACGCUGAGGAGCGAAAGCGUGGGAGCAAAACAGG
rnacentral:rRNA from 1 species